CUGGAGACAGGUGCUGCAUGGCUGUCGUCAGCUCGUGUCGUGAGAUGUUGGGUUAAGUCCCGCAACGAGCGCAACCCUGCCUUUAGUUGCCAGCAGUUCGGCUGGGCACUCUAAAGGGACUGCCGGUGUUAAACCGGAGGAAGGUGGGGAUGACGUCAAGUCCUCAUGGCCUUUAUGACCAGGGCUACACACGUACUACAAUGGCCGAUACAAAGGGCAGCGACACUGCGAGGUGAAGCCAAUCCCGUAAAAUCGGUCUCAGUCCGGAUUGGAGUCUGCAACUCGACUCCAUGAAGUUGGAAUCGCUAGUAAUCGUGGAUCAGCAUGCCACGGUGAAUACGUUCCCGGGCCUU
rnacentral:rRNA from 1 species